rfam:Asian citrus Psyllid, Diaphorina citri - Florida Strain, whole genome shotgun sequence.
GCCAGCGGCGAUAGCACCUUGAAUGUACCAGCUUCCGCUGAAGUUAAGCAACUUUGCGUGGGGUUAUUAUCCAGAUGGGUGACCUAGGUAGUCACGUGUUACUGAUU